rnacentral:rRNA from 1 species
AAUCAACGCUGGCGGCGUGCCUCAGACAUGCAAGUCGAACGCGAAAUUUCCCUUCGGGGAGAAAGUAGAGUGGCGCACGGGUGAGUAACACGUAGGUAAUUUGCCUUUGGGUGGGGAAUAACUCAGGGAAACUUGAGCUAAUACCGCAUAAUGCAGCGGCUCGACAUCGAGACAGUUGUUAAAGCGGGGGAGUUGGAGCAAUCCGACCUCGCGCCUAAAGAGAAGCCUGCGGCAGAUUAGCUAGUUGGUAAGGUAAUGGCUUACCAAGGCGACGAUCUGUAACCGGCCUGAGAGGGCGGUCGGUCACACU